rnacentral:lncRNA from 1 species
UCUAAUCUAAGCUCUCUAACCCUCAUCUCUUUAGAACCUUCUGGUUCUCUCCGUCUUCUCCGAUGACGACCAUCGCCUCUCCGGCUCACUCCUCCUUCACUUCUCUCAAUCUCCAGCAACCAUGGAGUCCCUGUAUCGCUAUUUUCUCUCUAAAUUUUGAAGCCAACAGUUUCCACCAUGAAAGAGGUUACAGAAGCUUUAUUUGGGUCUGUUUCCGGCCUUGGUUUUGUUCGAUGAUGCCUUCUAUCGAAUUACAUAUGGAUUUCAUGGCCAGGUUCUCAUUUCCCUAACUUAUUUUGCAAACCCUAAUUUGCUUUGCCUAAUCUCUUAAACUUCUAUCUUUCUAAGCAAUUUCCGGCUUAUCUUUGUUUUCUACACUACAUCUCACUCAAUAUCUUUGGUUAAGUCGAAUUUUUUCAAACGUUCUGUACCUCUUUUUCAAACUAGGGUUUCUGACCCUUUUCAAAGUCGCUAUAUCUCCUACUUUUCUUGAGUAUUAUAUGGUUGUNNNNNNNNNNNNNNNNNNNNNNNNNNNNNNNAUUUUUUCAAACGUUCUGUACCUCUUUUUCAAACUAGGGUUUCUGACCCUUUUCAAAGUCGCUAUAUCUCCUACUUUUCUUGAGUAUUAUGUGGUUGUUUCUGUUUAUUUUUGUUACGAGCGUUUAGUUUCCCUGUUAAUUUUGAGUUCCAUGCUCAAACUUUAUGGCUAGGGUUUCUCACCGCUUUUCAAAAUCGUAUAUCUGCUGCUUUUCGUGAGUAUUAUGUGUUCGUUUGUGUUUGUUUGUGUUACGAGUUUGUUUGGUUUCCUUGUCAAUUUGAGUUCCCUGCUUUAGUUUCUUGCUAGGGUUCUGACCCUUUGUUGCUUCCAUGAUUCCUUGAUUAGGAUUCUCUCAUUUUCAUGUCUACUAUGCUUUAUAGGUCUAAUUGUUCAUCGCGCAGGUGAUAUUCUACUGAUUUGUGCAUCUAUGUGAAUCCAUGAUAUUUUGAUUUUCAUGUCUACUAUGCUUUAUAAGUCUAAUUGUUCAUCGCUCAUGUGAUAUUCUACUAAUUUGUGCGUCUCUGUAAAUCCAUGAUUUGUAUAUGAUUUUCCUCAAACGUUUUACACUGAUUUCUUUUUGAAUUACUUCCUUGUUUAGAUGUGCUUUCCUUACAUAUAAGCAUUCCCUCUGAUUUUUGGUUUUGUCCAUGAUUCUUUGACUAAUUGACAGAAUUAAUUUGUAUUCCCCUACCAUAUUUGUGCAUAAAUAGGCUUUCAAAAUCGUCAGCAUAUAUUUUCCUUACUUGAAUUAUUAUGUAUCUAACCCAUAUUGCAUAUUAUGUGCUCUACUACUCUUAUUAGGGUAAAUGUAGAGUCUGAUUGAUUCUUUUCCUUUUUUUAAAAAAAUCCACUGCUUGUUACCAUUUGUCUUGGACUCCUUAAUUAAAGGGAAAUCCUUACAUUGAUGGAUUGUGAUUGAUGCUCGUUCCUUAAUUAUAGUUUGGUG